rnacentral:tRNA from 1 species
GGCACUGCAUCUCAGUGGUAGAGGUGUCACUACAGUUCCUGGUUCAAAUCCAGGCUGUGUCA